rnacentral:rRNA from 1 species
GACGAACGCUGGCGGCGUGCUUAACACAUGCAAGUCGAACGGAAAGGCCCUGCUUUUGUGGGGUGCUCGAGUGGCGAACGGGUGAGUAACACGUGAGUAACCUGCCCUUGACUUUGGGAUAACUUCAGGAAACUGGGGCUAAUACCGGAUAGGAGCUCCUGCUGCAUGGUGGGGGUUGGAAAGUUUCGGCGGUUGGGGAUGGACUCGCGGCUUAUCAGCUUGUUGGUGGGGUAGUGGCUUACCAAGGCGUUGACGGGUAGCCGGCCUGAGAGGGUGACCGGCCACAUUGGGACUGAGAGACGGCCCAGACUCCUACGGGAGGCAGCAGUGGGGAAUAUUGCACCAUGGGCGGAAGCCGGAUGCAGAAACCCCGCGUGCUGGAUGACGGCCUUGGGGUUGUAAACCGCUUUCGCCUGUGACGAAGCGUGAGUGACGGUAAUGGGUAAAGAAGCACCGGCUAACUACGUG